ACUCCUACGGGAGGCAGCAGUGGGGAAUAUUGCACAAUGGGGGAAACCCUGAUGCAGCCAUGCCGCGUGUGUGAAGAAGGCCUUCGGGUUGUAAAGCACUUUCAGUCGUGAGGAAGGGUAGUGUAGUUAAUAGCUGCUAUAUUUGACGUUAGCGAACAGAAGAAGCGACCGGCUAACUCCGUGCCAGCAGCCGCGGUAAUACGGAGGGUGCGAGCGUUAAUCGGAAUUACUGGGCGUAAAGCGCAUGCAGGUGGUUUGUUAAGUCAGAUGUGAAAGCCCGGGGCU
rnacentral:rRNA from 1 species